CGCAUAUCUUCCAUCCUUUUCUCUGAACACAAGUCUGACUGUCCUCUCUACCUUCUCGCUCAGGCACUAUCAUCUUAAAAGCAAUACACACGAUGUCAAUUCAGCGGGCCAAUUUUUCCAACCAGUGGAGUACUGAAAUCUUUGACUGCCUGAAAGUGAAGGAUAAAACAGAUUGUUUCCUUUCAAUCUUCUGCUUUCCUUAUGUUGCGUGUAAGACGGCUAAGAGGUAUGGAGAGUGUUUUUGCCUUCCUCUGAUUGAUGAAUUUGGUUUGAUGAGGGUAUCCAUGCGUCAUCAUUACGGCAUUAAGGGUAGUCUCUUGACUGACUGCUUGCUUUCCUACUUCUGUUGUCCCUGUGUAUGGUGUCAGAUGUCUCGGGAAAUGAACGCCCAUGAAACCGUAACACGUCAACCUUAAUAAAGUCAACUGCCACUCGACAACAUCCUC